rnacentral:lncRNA from 1 species
CCUUAUUAAACCAAACCUUUUAUUUUUUCGACUCUUACUGCUCAUAUUUAACGGUUCAAAUUUGAUCAGACUGUUCAAGAGAGACGGACGGGACAGUAAGAGAGAGUUACCAACUCUCGAAUGAGCAUCAGCAACACUGAGAUUUUGUUUUGAGAAUGUUGGGCAAUCAAAAAAGGUUUACCGACCGUCGUCUUAUUCGCGAUCGUGACUCUGCUGAGCUACUGCAGCCCGGCGUCUAGUUUCGCAUUCCUUCCUCGCGUCUCGUACAAAUAUGCUAUCAUCCCUUUGCCAGUGUGAGAUAUGCUCCCGUUGUACAGCCAAGUUGCCAAUCCAGGAUUCCUUCCGGUGCCACAUCAGUUAAUGUUAAUGGAUGGCCCUUCCCGUUCGGUUAUCCUAGUUUUAUUUCUCCGCCUAGUAGGCCUAAGCGGCCUGAUGCCGAACAUUGCAGGUACAUGAGGAAUACCUUGACAAACAGCCUCACGUUAAAAGAAGCGCCGAAAAGCGGCACCGGACCGGCCACCAUGCCCCGCUACACGGGCAUUAACCGAAAAAGUCUCUGGCGGAAUCGAAGCCAAAAUGGGUGCCUGGCCUUUAAUUGCUGCUCUCAAACGCGAUUGCAACUUCUUUUUUUGCAGCGGAUCUUUGAUUAGUGACUCGUGUUCCACUGGCGGCUGAGUGCCUGGAGAAGAAAUCUACGUUCGAGAUGAAUGGUGUGACCCGUGACCGCAUUGGUUGGUUGGCUUGAUGGCAGCUGCGACUCAUCCGACUUCCAAUGACGAGGAGAAUUCACAAACUUGUUAAUUCCACUUGUUCUUCACAGCCAAUUACAACACCUUCAUCCAUGUAAGCAUGACUUCCUCCAUUUGCAUGAUUUCCUACAGCUCGUCCGUUCAUCAUCAUCAUGUGGUGAAAAAAAAAACGAAAGAAGUCAGGACACAUCGCGACUAUCCCAAGACUGAAAUGCUUAAUGAGUUAAUUUUUUAGUUUAAUUAAUGACUUAAUGAUUGCUAACACAUUCGUCGAAUUUAUUGACUUUUUUAUUAAAUUGAUUUUUUAUAUAAACGCUCGCCUCAAUGCA